CCUGAACCUCAGCCAAAGAACUGGAGGUUUUGUAAGGCUUUUUUUUUUUUCACGUUUUCCUUUCUCUCCCUGCAGGAUGCUGCUGCGUCACUUGCAUUCUUCACCCCGGCCCAGCAGUAACUCUUUCCAGACUACCAGCAGCAGUCCAGGCACUUACAUCCUGCUCCAUUCCCUCUCCAAGAGCUUUGUACAUCCCCUCUCCCUCAUCAGAGGAGCUGCUGCCAGCUCAGACAGAGGUCUCGGUUGACUGCAGAAAGGAGGAGGGAGGAGCGUGUCAAAGGGAGGUCAAAUCCUGCCAGGGUUUCCUGGGAAAUGAGGUGAGUGGUGAUGUCUUUCAGUGCUCAUAAGCCUGGAGAUAGAAACCCUCCCAGUGUUCCCUGCACCCUUUGUGUGAGACUUCUG
rnacentral:lncRNA from 12 species